rnacentral:snoRNA from 1 species
AUGUCUGAUAUGAUGAGAAACAUGUUGGUAGGGACAUCUGAAAUAAAUGAGGAAACGCCAACUUUUACUGACCAGACAU